ACGGGUGAGUAAUGCCUAGGAAUCUGCCUGGUAGUGGGGGACAACGUUUCGAAAGGAACGCUAAUACCGCAUACGUCCUACGGGAGAAAGCAGGGGACCUUCGGGCCUUGCGCUAUUGAUGAGCCUAGGUCGGAUUAGCUAGUUGGUGAGGUAAUGGCUCACCAAGGCUACGAUCCGUAACUGGUCUGAGAGGAUGAUCAGUCACACUGGAACUGAGACACGGUCCAGACUCCUACGGGAGGCAGCAGUGGGGAAUAUUGGACAAUGGGCGAAAGCCUGAUCCAGCCAUGCCGCGUGUGUGAAGAAGGUCUUCGGAUUGUAAAGCACUUUAAGUUGGGAGGAAGGGUUGUAGAUUAAUACUCUGCAAUUUUGACGUUACCGACAUAAUAAGCACCGGCUAACUCUGUGCCAGCAGCCGCGGUAAUACAGAGGGUGCAAGCGUUAAUCGGAAUUACUGGGCGUAAAGCGCGCGUAGGUGGUUCGUUAAGUUGGAUGUGAAAUCCCCGGGCUCAACCUGGGAACUGCAUCCAAAACUGGCGAGCUAGAGUAUGGUAGAGGGUGGUGGAAUUUCCUGUGUAGCGGUGAAAUGCGU
rnacentral:rRNA from 1 species